UACGGAGGGUGCGAGCGUUGUCCGGAAUCAUUGGGCGUAAAGGGCGCGUAGGUGGCCCGGUCAGUUCGUGGUGAAAGCGCGGGGCUCAACCCUGCGUCGGCCAUGAAUACUGCCGCGGCUGGAGCACUGUAGAGGCAGGCGGAAUUCCGGGUGUAGCGGUGGAAUGCGUAGAGAUCCGGAAGAACACCGGUGGCGAGGCGGCCUGCUGGGCAGUUGCUGGACACUGAGGCGCGACAGCGUGGGGAGCAAACAGGG
rnacentral:rRNA from 1 species